rnacentral:rRNA from 1 species
AGAGUUUGAUCCUGGCUCAGAACGAACGCUGGCGGCGUGGUUAAGGCAUGCAAGUCGAGCGGACCUUUCUGCGGGGUAACCCAAGGUUAGGUCAGCGGCGAACGGGUGAGGAACACAUGGAUAACGUACCCUAGACUCGGGGAUAGCGGCGGAGCUUCGGUUCCUUUGCGAAAGUGCCGGUAAUACCCGAUGACCCGGUAGUGCCGUAUGGCACAGCCGGCAAAGUUCCGGCGGUCUGGGAUCGGUCCAUGUCCUAUCAGCUUGUUGGCGGGGUAAAGGCCCACCAAGGCUAUGACGGGUACCGGGCGUGAGAGCGUGACCCGGCACAUCGGAACUGAGAUACGGUCCGGACACCUACGGGUGGCUGCAGCAACGAAUAUUCCGCAAUGGACGAAAGUCUGACGGAGCGACGCCGCGUGCAGGAUGAAGUCCCUCGGGAUGUAAACUGCUGUCAGGGGUGAGGAAUUUUGACCAGCCCCAAAGGAAGCACUGGCUAACUCCGUGCCAGCAGCCGCGGUAACACGGAGAGUGCAAGCGUUGUUCGGAAUUACUGGGCUUAAAGAGCGUGUAGGCGGGAUGCCAGGUACCGUGUGAAAUCCCCGGGCUCAACCCGGGAACUGCAUGGUAAACCGGCAUUCUUGAGGCAGGUAGAGGUGAUCGGAACGACUGGUGGAGCGGUGAAAUGCGUAGAUAUCAGUUGGAACGCCUGUGGCGAAAGCGGGUCACUGGGCCUGUCCUGACGCUGAGACGCGAAAGCGUGGGGAGCGAAGAGGAUUAGAUACCCUCGUAGUCCACGCCGUAAACGAUGCGCACUAGGUAUGG